rnacentral:lncRNA from 1 species
CUGCUGGAGAUUUCCGCCAGAGCGCUGGAGACCUUGCGCUCAGAUCUUCUCUGGUGAUGAAGAGGCGAGGAAUCAAGUGACUGAUCUGGAAGAAAUAUCUCGCAGCACUGCAGCUAACAUCACAGAACUUAAGUGUGUUUUGUGUGUGUGCCCACACGUAGACAAAUGUGUACGGUGCACACACACAGUGCAUCAUUUUUUAAGGGCAGAUUAUAUAUAUAUAUGAGAUGUAUUAAUUCAGUGGUUACCAUUUGUUUGCAGGAAAAAGAAAUGUAUGGGUGAAAAAAUUUAUGGUUGAUAAAUCCAGCCAAGGAGAUUAAAAGGGGUUUGGAUAAAUUCUGGGUAUAAAUGCUCAGACUAAAAAAAAGAAAUGGCAGUUUUGCACAGUGCUAUGGUCUUGCACUAGUUUUUGUUUCUCAUCUGAAAAAAAAAAAGUAAAAUAAAAGGAAGAAAAUGUACCUUUUUUAUGGAAUGAGUAGACUGUAUGUUUGAAGAUUUAGCCACAACCUCUUUGACAUAUAAUGACGCAACAAAAAGGUGCUGUUUAGUCCUAUGGUUCAGUUUAUGCCCCUGACAAGUUUCCAUUGUGUUUUGCCGAUCUUCUGGCUAAUCGUGGUAUCCUCCAUGUUAUUAGUAAUUCUGUAUUCCAUUUUGUUAACGCCUGGUAGAUGUAACCUGCUAGGAGGCUAACUUUAUACUUAUUUAAAAGCUCUUAUUUUGUGGUCAUUAAAAUGGCAAUUUAUGUGCAGCACUUUAUUGCAGCAGGAAGCAGGUGUGGGUUGGUUGUAAAGCUCUUUGCUAAUCUUAAAAAGUAAUGGGUGAUUUAAAAAGAAAAAAGGAAAAAAAUCUUUGGCUGAAUAUGUUCAUUGCUUGUAUUUUUAAAACAACAGAAUUUCCAGUAUGAAACAGGCUGAAAGAGCAGGAAGAAAUGUUCUUUGUAUAAUAAUGGGAAGUUUGGAAUAUAAAAGUUUAUAUAUUAUUUAUCUAUUGGAGAACUGGUGUACAGGAGGAACAUUUUCUUACUGUGUUGCUGUUUUCCAUCAUGUGUUAUCCUAAGAGUUGGGGUUUUUUAAAAUCUGUUUCACCAGGGGAAAAUAAAAGCAUCCCUAAUGUU